AACGAACGCUGGCGGCAUGCCUAACACAUGCAAGUCGAACGAAGGCUUCGGCCUUAGUGGCGCACGGGUGCGUAACGCGUGGGAAUCUGCCCUUGGGUACGGAAUAACAGCGAGAAAUUGCCGCUAAUACCGUAUGAUGUCGAAAGACCAAAGAUUUAUCGCCCGAGGAUGAGCCCGCGUAGGAUUAGCUAGUUGGUGGGGUAAAGGCCCACCAAGGCGACGAUCCUUAGCUGGUCUGAGAGGAUGAUCAGCCACACUGGGACUGAGACACGGCCCAGACUCCUACGGGAGGCAGCAGUGGGGAAUAUUGGACAAUGGGCGCAAGCCUGAUCCAGCAAUGCCGCGUGAGUGAUGAAGGCCUUAGGGUUGUAAAGCUCUUUUACCCGGGAAGAUAAUGACUGUACCGGGAGAAUAAGCCCCGGCUAACUCCGUGCCAGCCGCCGCAGUAA
rnacentral:rRNA from 1 species